UCGGCUUUGAGUUUCUCCUCCUCGCGCAUCUCGUGGUCCGACUCGAGGGCGUCGAACACGGCGGCGCCCACCAGCAGAUAGGAAAACUUCCAGCAAGACAGGAUCACGUGCCCAGGAUCCCACAGUGAUUCCGAUGUGGAGCCAGCCCUGGAAGCCUCUCCGUGGCUUCUGUCUAGCCCUCCUUCGAGGACCCCCGCUGCUUUCUGGCCCCAAGCUUAGAGUGCCUUGAGUGGCCACCUACCAGCCCCCAGACCCUGGUUCUUCCUCUCUUCCACCCAUGGGAAUAGACCCGUGGACUCAGGACCUCCCAGGCAGUGUCUGAGCCGUGGAAGCAGAGGGUUCCUCGUCCGCCCGUCCACACCCCCACAUGUGCCACUUUCCAAGGCGCUGGACCUGCGGGUGGAAUGGGAGCUCCUGGGAGCAAAGCCUGGGGCCCAAUCAAGCAUCCUCCCUACAUCCCCAGCAUCCAUCCCGGAUAGUGUGUGCCACACAACAGCCCAGAGAGUCCGGCUGGGGGCAGUGCCUCUGGGUGCCUGCCUCCCUCACAGCCCCCGUGGGUCUGGGUGUCCCAACUCUAGCCCCACCUGGAGAAGCAUGUGGAACUGAGGUGUGGCCAAUCAGAGUCCAAAAUUCCGCAGGGCCACGGUGAUUGGCUGGAUUUGGACGUGUGAAGGCCCACCUCAACCAAUCACAGCCCUCCUCUGGGUAGGGCUGUCAGCAGAUAGGUGACCUGAGGAGGGAGGCAGGUCCUUCCUGACUCUUUGAGAACCCCAACGCAGGCACGUAGCGCACACGCAAGCCACCCAACUGGGGUGAGCAAGUGCAUUCUCUUGUGGGCUUAAGCCACAGUCAGUUGGUCCCAAGCCUGUCCGGUGCUCCUGGUGCCCAUGCGCUGUGUUCACAGCCUGUCUGUGCCCUCCAGCAGCCCUAACAUGGGCCUCCCUUGGACCUCAGUUUCUGUAAAAACAGAUGUACCUUAUUAGCUAAUAAAGAACAUCAUGGUUUUAUAACUCCA